AUUGAACGCUGGCGGCAGGCUUAACACAUGCAAGUCGAACGAGUGGCGGACGGGUGAGUAAUGCUUGGGAAUCUAGCUUAUGGAGGGGGAUAACUAAGGGAAACUGUAGCUCAUACCGCGUACCAUAGGAUGAGCCCACGUGGGAUUAGGUAGUUGGUGGGGUAAAGGCUCACCAAGCCGACGAUCUCUAGCUGGUCUGAGAGGAUGACCAGACACACUGGGACGUCGACACGGCCCAGACUCCUACGUGAGGCAGCAGUGGUGAAUAUUGCACAAUGGGGGCAACCUGAUGCAGCCAUGCCGCGUGAAUGAAGAAGGCCGUCGGGUUGUAAAGUUCUUUCGGUUGCGAGGCGUUAACUACAGAAGAAGCACCGGCUAACUCCGUGCCAGCAGCCGCGGUAAUAC
rnacentral:rRNA from 1 species